UACGGAGGAUGCGAGCGUUAUCCGGAUUUAUUGGGUUUAAAGGGUGCGUAGGCGGCUUUUUAAGUCAGCGGUGAAAUUUUGCAGCUUAACUGUAACAGUGCCGUUGAUACUGGGGAGCUAGGAUUUGGUUGCUGUGGGUGGAAUGUGUGGUGUAGCUGUGAAAUGCUUAGAGAUCACACAGAAUAUCGAUUGCGAAGGCAGCUCACAAAGCCAAGAUUGACGCUGAGGCACGAAAGUGUGGGGAUCAAACAGGA
rnacentral:rRNA from 1 species